ensembl:lincRNA
GUAUUUUAUCACAGCAACGGGAAAGUCAUGAAGAUGCCGUCUGAAAUUUUGUGAUUAAACACUGAAGCCACAAGAAAGGACACGAAUGACCAGGUGAGAAUUUACAUGCUCAUCACCCAUCGUCUUCCCAUGGAGUGCUCGGCUGCAGACGAGACAUCAUCACCCAUCGUCUUCCCGUGGAGUGCUCGGCUGCAGACGAGACAUCAUCACCCAUCGUCUUCCCAUGGAGUGCUCAGCUGCAGAUGAGACGUUAUAGCACACCCUCUCCACACAGGGCUGAGAGAACGUUUUAGAAAAGGGGGUGGAAAGACUCUAAGAGUCAGGGGCUGGGGAGGACUAGAAAAAACAGCCCUCCUGGUGGUGACAGGGGACUGUACUCAUGAACUCACAGCAGCAUGCUUGCCUGAACAAGACCUGCCCAAGGUCAAGCCAGUUACCACCAGUCCAGCACAGAUGCCUGAAGGUCACACAAGGCCCCGCCCCCAUCUGAGGAGCUGUGGACGGUGGCUGCUGGAGGAGGGAGAGACCGUUUUCUUGGCUGACCAUGCUCCAGCAGAUGACCCUGGACUCAUGCUUCUAUGGUCAUCAUUCAUCGGACUCAGGAGGACCAUCACCACUACCACCAUUACCACCGUAAUCACCAUCAUCCCUGUGAUCAUCGUCACUACUGUAGUCGUCACCACAGUAGCCAUCAUCAUCACCGCCACCAUCACCAUCACCACUGUAAUCGCCAUCAUCACUGUAACCAUCACCACCACCCUCUAUCUAGCUCUGUCUUUCACACUCGGCAGUCACAUGCCAAGCUGGAGGGCCCGCACAUGCUUUUCUACACCUUUCACGAUUCUCUGCUCGUCACAUCCAAAUCAGGACAGGGUCAGAGUCAAGAAAAAUGCUGGAACUCCAUAA